rnacentral:rRNA from 1 species
CCUACGGGUGGCUGCAGUGGGGAAUUUUGGACAAUGGGGGCAACCCUGAUCCAGCCAUGCCGCGUGCGGGAAGAAGGCCUUCGGGUUGUAAACCGCUUUCGGCCGGAACGAAAUCGCCGGGGAGAACACCCCCGGUGGAUGACGGUACCGGAAGAAGAAGCACCGGCUAACUACGUGCCAGCAGCCGCGGUAAUACGUAGGGUGCGUGCGUUAAUCGGAAUUACUGCAGGUAGAGCGUGAGCACAGAUUUGGAAGCCCCGGGCUUAACCUGGGAACUGCGUUUGUGACUGGCGGGCUGGAGUGCGGAAGAGGGAGGUGGAAUUCCACGUGUAGCAGUGAAAUGCGUAGAGAUGUGGAGGAACACCGAUGGCGAAGGCAGCCUCCUGGUCUAGCACUGACGCUCAUGCACGAAAGCGUGGGGAGCAAACAGGAUUAGAUACCCCAGUAGUC